UAAUUUAUGUUUAUAGGUUUAAAAAGAAGAGAGCUGAAGUGGUGGCCGAAAGCAUGACAAUAUUGCAAAAUAUUCACUAUCAAAGGUUGUCAGAGAAGGGUCCGUGACGAUGGUAAUAUCUUUGAUUUGGAGCUUGAAUUUAUGGGCUGUUCUUCUGCGAAGUCCGACAUUCAUAACGACGGUGAAAUUCUCCACUAACCUUCAGUGACUAACAAUCAAAUUCUUAACACGAUCUGCAAAUACACUCUGACAGGUAUCACAUGGUUUUUUGAUCAAACCACACAUAACCGAAACGAUGGUGAUCACAUUUGUACAAAGAUUGUUUACAUCUCGGGUGAUAAGUCCUUUUUGGCCUUUUACAGGUCUGGAAUUAGUAGAAGAGAGAAGAGAAGGUGCAUGACGAAAAGAUGUCAUUUUGGAGCAAUUCUGCGGAGAACACUCAAGUAGAACAGUCCCGAGAAUGUUCUCUCUCAAGCGGAACAAGCAGACGGAGUGAUCCGGAGAUUGUUCCCGACGAAUAUGGAAACUUCUAUUUUGGGAAUUAAAGCCCUGUUGCCCUAAUCUCAUAUCUUCUGAUUGGCGCCUCCAUAUAAAAACGCCAUCUAUCAUUUUAUUAUUGUCUUACGCUAGUUUUACAAGAGAACACUGUGAUAUUGCGAUCUGCAACUUGUAAGGGAGAAGAAUCCAUCCUCUCAUAGAGAAGAUCAUCUGAACCCUUUUGUUUCAUACUAUGUUCUUAUGCAAUUUUAUUCAGGAUUUAUGUCUUUGAUUAUC